rnacentral:rRNA from 1 species
GACGAACGCUGGCGGCGCGCCUAACACAUGCAAGUCGAACGGAGCCUGUGGGAAGAUUUUCUUCGGAGAUGAUUUCUGCAAAGCUUAGUGGCGAACGGGUGAGUAACACGUGAGUAACCUGCCCUCGAGCGGGGGACAACAUUUGGAAACAGAUGCUAAUACCGCAUAAGACCACGGUGUCGCAUGGCACAGUGGCCAAAGCAGCAAUGCACUUGAGGAUGGACUCGCGUCUGAUUAGAUAGUUGGCGGGGUAACGGCCCACCAAGUCGACGAUCAGUAGCCGGACUGAGAGGUUGAACGGCCACAUUGGGACUGAGACACGGCCCAGACUCCUACGGGAGGCAGCAGUGGGGAAUAUUGGGCAAUGGGGGCAACCCUGACCCAGCGACGCCGCGUGAGGGAAGAAGUUUUUCGGAAUGUAAACCUCUGUCUUCGGGGAAGAAGAAGUGACGGUACCCGAGGAGGAAGCCACGGCUAACUACGUGCCAGCAGCCGCAGUAAUAC